AUGUUACAUAUAUCUUCAUAAUCUGUUUAAUGGAGUGAGGAAAAGAUGAGCAGGGGAUAGAUAGCUUGAUCAAUUGAUCAAUUGAUAGACAUAGUUAUUGCUAUAUAAAAUGAAAGACAGGGCAUUUAUGAAAAAUUUACAUCUCACUAGUUCUUCCUAGAAUGGUCAUACUUAAGGGGAGCAGUUUUGUUACUGAGCAAUUAGUAUGCUUUAACAGCAUGGGAAUUCUUUAUAAGAAUAUAUAUCAACCAACAAUAUUUGGGAAUGUGUAGAAGAAAUGGUGAGAAAAGUUAACAUUAUAAAGUGGAUAAGAAGUUUUAAAUUUUAGAAUGUGAGCUUCAUGAAACGAAUUUUUCUGGCUUGUUCAACCCUGUAUUUCUGGCAACCAAAGAAGUGAUUGGCACAGAGAAAGUAUGCUAUAAAUAUUUGCUGAAUUAAUAAAUGUCUGCUGAAAGACCUA